rnacentral:misc_RNA from 1 species
GACGGUUGUAGGAUUGUUCGAUGGCCUUGGAAACACUACGGUGGGUUUAGUCGAUAACGGGUUGAGGUGUUCUUCCCCCCCUGGACACCGAGAGGACAACACGCGAACCCGUUAUCGAAGCAGAGGUCCCGAUAGACGUGUUGUCCCGAUGGGUCGAUCAACAAUUCAGAUUUUGUAGGCAACGAUCGACCGACCGACCCGAUUGAUGGUAUUGUUGGUGUGGGAAAUGUUGGACUGAAUCGGUUGACGGUUUCAAUUUUGUGGGAAACGAUGGACCGACCCGAUUGAUGGUUUUGAUUUUGUUGGAAAUUAUGUAUCGACCCGAUUGACGGCAACGGAUAUCUCGCAUCGUGCGGUGCUUUCCUUGGUUCCAACUCGGCUAAAGGUUGCAUUCUUGGCCUUUGUGCUAGGAUGUGGGCUAUUAGUUGGGUGGUUUUAGGGAUUGUUGACCGUAAAGGUGCAUGAGUUGUGUUUGGUUUGUUACGUGUCGUUGGCUGUCUGCUUAUGCAACAACGUCAACACGUGCAGACUUCUUCAUCUAUUGUGAAAGCGUGCUUUGCUUUUGCAUGUCGUGGGUUUCUAGCGUUGUGUUCCUGAAUUGUGGCAUUUUAUGGUUUGAACGACGUGUUUUUAAUCAUGUCACACAUAUGUGUGCCAUGUGAAAAGGCAUGAAGCUAUCUCUUCGAUCCAUUUCGUCUUCGUCUUUGGCAUUGACGUUCUGGCUUGUUGAGAAAGCUGGUCUCAUGGAUGCGGAGCUUGACUCGGUGAUUUGGUUUUAUUAACCAUUUUGGUUGCCAUUACUAGGUGUUUUUGCCUUUCCUUCAUAUGACCUUCCAUCGUG